GAGAAAUCACUUAAUAUCAGGCCCUCAGCCUCAGCUUCCUCACCCGGAAAAUGAGGGUAAUUCCUGCCUGAUUCUGACAAAAUGGAGGUCACCUAGAAACUUCAGUAGAGAGAAGCAGCUGCUGUGAGGAUGUUUGGGGAAACAACCUUUGAUGCUAGAGGAAUGAGUGGUAUGAGUGCCAAGAAUGUUUUCAGAGGAGCUAUCUCAUGAGCACUCUCGGGUUCAGUCAGCUCCCCAGAGCAGGAUUGGCACCAAAAGAGGGCUGGUCGUGAGGAGGGAAGGCAUGAAUUAGGGCAGACUUUCUGAAUUAGGGGUGCCAUGGCACCUGCAGAGCAGAGAGAGCCCACAGGCUGGGUUUGGAGCAACCAGCCCAACCCCUUAGUAGACUCUAGUCCACUCAGGCCACCUGCCCUUGGAAAUGCUGUCUGAAAUGGGAAACUUCUUCCCAAGGUAUCUUUUCUUCCCAAGAUAUCUUUCUAUUUCUUACCCCCUCUGCAGCUCCAAGGGAAAGAGGUGAAAUGGCCAAGCACAGGAGACCCAAGAGAGCUCAUUCUGUCAAGGCAUCCCUGCAAUUCACAGUGACACCUCUAGAAUGGGCCCUCAGUACUAGCAGAGAGUGGUUACUGACAAAUCCUCUCUCAUCUAUGCACUUCAGAAUUUUGGUCAGGGACUAGCUCUUUCCGAAUCCAUCAUUCUCAGCAUGAGGUGUAGAAGUGUUAGAGAGAGUGGAAAGGAGAGUGUGUUCUUAGGUGCAAAAUCAAUGGAGUUUGUGCACCUCAACUAGAUUGGUUUCCUUUUCCUUAUGAAGAAAGCAUAGAUUUAGUGCUGGGGAUGUGGCUCAAGCGUUAACGUGCUCGCCUGGCAUGUGCAGGGUGCUGGGUUUGAUCCUCAGCACCACAUAAAAAAUAAAAUAAAAUAAAGAUGUUGUGUCCACCGAAAACUGAAAAAUAAAUAUUAAAAAUUUCUCUCUUCUCUCUCUCUCUUAAAAAAAUUAGAAAGCAUAGAUUAAUAUUGUGUCUCAUCAUGCAUUUCACACAGUGCCUUGGGGAAACAGCCUGCAUGCAGAGGACCCACUCUGGAACAGGUAGGUUUCUAAGGAAACAUGGAGAUCUGAGUUUAAAGCUCUAGGAGACAUUUCCAACAAGGGGCUGAAAAUUUGAAAAUAUUGGCCAGGAUUCACUGUUUUUGUGCAAGAUGGUUUUUCAAAGAGAUCUGAGAGAUAUUACCAUGGCUUUCUGAGGCCUUGCCAUGACACCUGGUUUCAGUAUGUGUUCCGGGGGUGCUGGAGCAUAUUGGAAGGAAACAUAGUAACACCGCUACAUUCCCUAGCCAGUCAUUGAAAAGAAUC
rnacentral:lncRNA from 1 species